UUGUUUGAAUUGUGUGUUUCGCGCGCCUGCAACAGUUGUUGAUUGUCCGCGUGCUAGUCGAACUGCAACAACAACAGCAACAACAGCAACAAUAAGUGCUUCAAUUUGAGGCAAUUUGCGGCAUUGACAACAACAAUAAGUGCAACUGCAACUGCCAGCAGCAGCAGCAGCCACAGCAACAACAACAGCAACUGCAACAAUAGCAACAGCAGCAACAGCAACAGCAGCAACAGCAACUGCUUUCGAAAGUCGCAUCGAGCACAUCCUGUUGUUCGGCAUUGCAUCAAAAUUGGAAUUGCUCAGCUCUUGGAAUUGGUCCAAGGCGUAGGUAAGGGCAGCGACAGCGACAACAGCCAAGAGCGCGCACAUGACAGC